GAUGAACGCUGGCGGCGUGCCUAAUACAUGCAAGUCGAGCGAACGGACGAGAAGCUUGCUUCUCUGAUGUUAGCGGCGGACGGGUGAGUAACACGUGGAUAACCUACCUAUAAGACUGGGAUAACUUCGGGAAACCGGAGCUAAUACCGGAUGAUAUUUUGAACCGCAUGGUUCAAAAGUGAAAGACGGUCUUGCUGUCACUUAUAGAUGGGUCCGCGCUGCAUUAGCUAGUUGGUAAGGUAACGGCUUACCAAGGCAACGAUGCAUAGCCGACCUGAGAGGGUGAUCGGCCACACUGGAACUGAGACACGGUCCAGACUCCUACGGGAGGCAGCAGUAGGGAAUCUUCCGCAAAGGGCGAAAGCCUGACGGAGCAACGCCGCGUGAGUGAUGAAGGUCUUCGGAUCGUAAAAUUCUGUUAUUAGGGAAGAACAUAUGUGUAAGUAACUGUGCACAUCUUGACGGUACCUAAUCAGAAAGCCACGGCUAACUACGUG
rnacentral:rRNA from 1 species